rnacentral:rRNA from 1 species
UACGAAGGGAGCUAGCGUUGUUCGGAAUUACUGGGCGUAAAGGGCGCGUAGGCGGUUUGAUAAGUUUGAUGUGAAAGCCCUGGGCUUAACCUAGGAAUAGCAUUGAAUACUGUCAGACUUGAGGCCGAGAGAGGGAAAUGGAAUUGCGAGUGUAGAGGUGAAAUUCGUAGAUAUUCGCAAGAACACCAGUGGCGAAGGCGGCUCACUGGCCCGGUACUGACGCUGAGGUGCGAAAGCGUGGGGAGCAAACAGG